rnacentral:rRNA from 1 species
UGCCAGACUCCUACGGGAGGCAGCAGUGGGGAAUAUUGGGCAAUGGGCGCAAGCCUGACCCAGCAACGCCGCGUGAAGGAAGAAGGCUUUCGGGUUGUAAACUUCUUUUAUGAGGGACGAAGGAAGUGACGGUACCUCAUGAAUAAGCCACGGCUAACUACGUGCCAGUAGCCGCGGUAAUACGUAGGUGGCGAGCGUUAUCCGGAUUUACUGGGUGUAAAGGGCGUGUAGGCGGGCUUGCAAGUCAGAUGUGAAAACUAUGGGCUCAACCCAUAGCCUGCAUUUGAAACUGUAGGUCUUGAGUGAUGGAGAGGCAGGCGGAAUUCCGUGUGUAGCGGUGAAAUGCGUAGAUAUACGGAGGAACACCAGUGGCGAAGGCGGCCUGCUGGACAUUAACUGACGCUGAGGCGCGAAAGCGUGGGGAGCAAACAGGAUUAGAUACCCCAGUA